rnacentral:lncRNA from 1 species
AUAUUUCCCCAGGUCAGUUUGCAUCAUUUGGUAUCAGAGCUACUAAAACGAGGAGAGUCGAUAUUUGUAUUAAGCCCGGAAGUAGGUUCGUAACGUAAAAAAACUUAAAAAAUUUCAAGUUGUAAUUUAAUUUUUUUCUUUGUAUUUCAGCAUAUUGUAAUUGAAGAGUAAAAAAAAGAAUUACGAAAAUUCAAAAAAAAGGAAAAAAUAAUACGAGUAUUAAAAAAAGAAGUGAAAGUCUUGCGAGUUUUAUUUUGUUGUCAUUUCUUGAUAUUCCCGAUCAUCUAUUCAUUCUACCAUUCUUUCUUCCCCCAAAACGCCACACAAACUUUGAUUUUAUUUUCUUUGUUUAGCCUAACCCACCCCAUUCAUUUUAUC